rnacentral:rRNA from 1 species
GUUAAGCGACUAAGCGUACACGGUGGAUGCCCUGGCAGUCAGAGGCGAUGAAGGACGUGCUAAUCUGCGAUAAGCGUCGGUAAGGUGAUAUGAACCGUUAUAACCGGCGAUUUCCGAAUGGGGAAACCCAGUGUGUUUCGACACACUAUCAUUAACUGAAUCCAUAGGUUAAUGAGGCGAACCGGGGGAACUGAAACAUCUAAGUACCCCGAGGAAAAGAAAUCAACCGAGAUUCCCCCAGUAGCGGCGAGCGAACGGGGAGCAGCCCAGAGCCUGAAUCAGUAUGUGUGUUAGUGGAAGCGUCUGGAAAGGCGCGCGAUACAGGGUGACAGCCCCGUACACAAAAAUGCACAUGCUGUGAGCUCGAUGAGUAGGGCGGGACACGUGGUAUCCUGUCUGAAUAUGGGGGGACCAUCCUCCAAGGCUAAAUACUCCUGACUGACCGAUAGUGAACCAGUACCGUGAGGGAAAGGCGAAAAGAACCCCGGCGAGGGGAGUGAAAAAGAACCUGAAACCGUGU